rnacentral:lncRNA from 1 species
UAUAAUUUUUUUUUACAUUUUUAUUAUUUUUCUGUAGUUAAGUUGCGUGGUUUUGUGUGUUGGCAUGGCUCUGGCAAUUACAACAUUUAGUAAGCUUCUGCAUAAUUCUGCAAUUCAAUUGAGUUUUGUGUUUUCUUAUUUAACAAACAUUUUUGUAGAGAUUUUUCUGUAGUGUCAUUUUGUUUUGCGCUUCGUAGAUGCGAAGAUCGUUCAUGGGUCUGUUUUCAGAUCAGCUCAAAAAGAGUCGUGGCUGUGCACGGAGUUUUCUUUUUGAUGUUUUGUUUUUUUUUUUUGUUCUUUUUUUGGUUUUGUUUUGCUAUCAAAAGUGUGCCGCGGGGAAGCCUGCCCUUCCCUGUCCAACUUUCGUACAUGUGCAGGCCACAAAGGUCCAGUGGUCAGUACAGAUCGGGUUUGGACAGGCCAGGCUGAAUCCCGGCAAGUCCGAGAUUUUGGGAGUAGUUUCGGUUAGUUACAGCACGGCACAAAAAACACUUAGAAACGCCUCUGGCUCCAAAUAAUGUACAUAUGUAUGUAUGUAUUGUAAAUAUAUUUUAUGUACAUAUAUGUAUGCACUUUUUUGUGUUUUUAUUGGAUUUUGGUUUUGGCGAUGCAUUUCUGCCAUUCGCCCGACUUUUGCUUUCGGUUUGCUCUUCAGCUUUCUAUGCUAUGUGGUAAAUGGUGGGUAAAUACAUCAAUACAUUCAGUUCAAACAGUUAUUUUGACUCGAUAAGACUCGAUAGACAGUUAAAAUACAGCUAUGCAUGUUUCCAUUGUAUUGAUAUCGGUUGCGAUUUGUGUAUUUAUCUGUAGAGGCUAGUCACACAUAGAACACCAAAAAAAAACGCCAACAACUGUUGUAUUUGUAUAACUAUUACAAAUUGUAUGUACAUAUGUAUGUAUGUAUUUAUGUAAAUGGUUAUUCUGAGUCGUCUGGGGUCUCUCAUUCACAAUGCCAUCGUUCUACCAUGGGGCUCUGUUUCCAUAAACUCGGUAUUUUUGUUUUGGGUUGGAAAUGAACCUUUGCUUCGUUCGAAAAGAUCCAUUCCUAGACAUUAAAUGCUACCCAUUGUCUUUCCCAACCUCCGCCUGUGCUUCGUCGUUCUCAGUUUCGGUCUCUGGAUAUCCCACAUUAUCAGAUGGAAGUCCCAACUUUACUACAAAAAAAAAUAUUUGAUUUUACCCCUUACAGUGUUCCGUUUGGGUCUGCGUCAAAGGUCAAUUCGUUUUGUUCUCUGUUCAUUUCCGUUGUCGCGUUACCAAUCCCGUACGUUCCCUUCCGUCCUUUCGGAUCAAUGUUCUAUUCUACUGCUCUGACUAUUCCGUACUAUUUGUUGUAUCUGCUUCGAUUAUAACUAUUUGUUCACAUUGAAAGCGUUUAAUUAUGGUUUCCUUUUUUGCUGUUUUUGUGUGUGUAAAAGAGUUUCCCCUCUUAUUUAUGUAUCUUGUUUUCCCAGUGUUGUUUCAGGCAUUCUUUUCAUUUGUUUUAUCGAGUAGUAAGUUGUUUUGUAGAUAUUGAAUUUUGAUAUAUGCGACUUUGAACAUUUGUGUGAAACCCUUUCGGAAAUGCUGCCGUUUACAUUUAGUUUUCUCUUUUGUUUAGAAUUUGCUUUGCUUUACCGACUUACCGGCCACAAACUGUACAUUUUUGCUUAUGUAUUUUGCCAACUUGUCUUAAUUGGCUAUGAUUUCGGUAAGUAGUCCUCAAGUGAACUGUUUGUAGUGUGUCGGGCAUUAACCCUAAAUCCAUGAAAUAUGCAUUGAGCUGAGAGACCAACACGGAACGAGGUUUUCGGGUUGACAUUUUGUCUUGAGAAUCUUAUCUAUGGGCUCCUCUCAUUCGGAUGUUUCUAUAUACUAUCUAUGUAGGUUUGAAUUGUCCUUUGAUGCUCUGCUUUAAAGGUUCUCUUCUUUGUGUGUUUUGUUUUGUUUUGGGUUUCGAUAGAUCUUCAUAUUGUAUGUAUCGAGAUAUAAAAUUAGUUUGUGGGUUUUUACAGAGGGUUUUGGGCUUUUUUUUCGUAUCUCUUACACAUGUAUGUACAUAUAUGCAUGGGCUGUAGGUUACUUCUUAGUAUUUGAGAGUAUUCUAUAGGAUAAUUGUGUCACUUGGAGCCUUAUUAGAAAAAGCUGUAUUCGAAUGUAUUCGAAAGAUGUACCAAGAGGCAUGUAUUCCGGUUUCCGGUUUUCUGGCUGAGGCUGAGGCUAUGGAGGGGCGCAGCCAAGGCGGUUGGUCCUAUGCUAAAAACUGGAUUGAUAUUGAUAUGACAGACAACAUUUAAUACUGCUUACGGCUAGAAGUAUUGGCUGCAAAACACGAUCCUAACCUAAGGGACAUUUGCAUAUUUACUCGAUCAAAAUGCAAAUGCAAACCAAAUGCCCCAAGCUAACAUUCACUUUGAGAUCCAAAAGCUGAUAUUUUGAGCCACUGGCGAACAUCAAUCAAGUAAGCAAUUAAGCAACGUUUGUGAUAUUCCUAGACGUCCCAAAAGCUACAUUCCAUCAUUAUUUUUGAUUGUGUACAUUGAGCGAACAUCAAUCAAGCAAAAAGACUAGAGAUAAUAUUCUUAGCUAUGCCCAGGCAUCGUAGGGAUCGUAGGCAACAACGUUUUAGACAUUAUGCAACUUUGUGGAUCUUCAUUAGAUCCAUUAGAAUCCAAAACCCUAUAAAUAUACAUACAACAUACACUGACAGCUGCUGCUAUUUGUGCCACUAUUUGGUGACACUUCAAUUAUCGCUUAUAGCUUUGGAAGGCAUCAAACAUGGAGAUGCCAUUCACUUUCCGCGUUUUCGGGGAAAAUUCGAAUUCGAGUUUCAUGCGUGAAAAUCUAUUUUCACAAAUAACAUAACAACAUUUAUAAGACUUAUGUUUUCGCCCUGUCCUUCUCCCUUUUGGUCAACCAAACAGAAAAAAAACCCGGCCACGCCCCCAUGGUGUCUGUGGUAUCCCUUAGGGGGAAAGUCUACAAAUAUUUGUUCUCGCCUCUGCAAGAGUUUUGCUUCAAUGUCUUCAAGGUUCUAUUGACUCUCAUACAAACGUUGAAGAGUUUUUAGUUUUUAGUUUUUAGUUUUUUUACUCUGCUUUCUUCAGCCCAUCCCGAGAUGUGUGUGCCACUGCCUCCAAUGGGAGUUUGCUUUUGGGUUUAAUAUCCAGAGAUGCCCAGGCUUAUGCUGGGUAGUGGUAUGCGGUUUCUGGUCAUCGUAGUACGAAUUGUUUUUUCUGUAUUCGUUAUGUACAAUGGGUCAUGUUGUUGGUUAUCCUUUAACUUACGCUGUAUAUAUUGUGUGUAUUUAUUUCUUUGUUUAUAGUAAGUAUAAUGAGAUGUAUCUCUCGGUAGAACACAUCGUGAGUAGUCAGAACUACCUUCAGAAUGUUCUUCAACCGAAAAGACUACUAUUUGCCAGACUCGUACGAUUCCUUUCGCUUUACACUUUAGUUAGUCCUAUUGCUUGGGGAAGAGCAAUUUUGCAUCCCCAUCCCCAAUCCCAAUCCCAUCUUACAAUGCUUAAUUUUCUAAGGUUUAACAUUUAAAUUCUCUUUUUUACUUUGU